GCAGCAUCAGCAUCCUGGUCAUCUGAAUGUGCCUCCCUUCAGGCAGGGGGACCAGAUCCAGUGGCUUUGCACAUGGAAAUGAAUGUGACAUUUACAGAUGGAAGAUGAGAUAUAGCAGUGGAUAACUCUGGGCUGGAUAAUAAAUGGCAGACUGUGAAUUGAGAGUGUAAGAAGAUUAUGGUGGACUGAGGACAAGGAGCGGCAGUGGAUUGACAGAUGGUGGCAACUGGAGGAUGGAAGGAGAUGAGCAACUCAUGGUAAUUGGCGGAUGGAACACAAUGGGCAGGACAGCAGUUUUUUUCUUCUUACAGGGGAUGGACCAUGGGAGGAGGACAGCAGAUGGCAGGGCGUAACAGGCUAUGGCUUUUGGUACAAACAAUCCUGGAUGCAGCACAGGAAACUGAGAGACUGCAGAUGACCUGCUGCAAGGAGAUGGAUAGAAAGGACCAGAUUCUGUUUCAUCCAGUGAAUAACCAAAGUGCAGCUUUCAUCCCAUUUUGAGCUACCCAAUAGAAGUGUGAGAAGGUACAAUGCAAGGUCGAGAAGGAAGUUAGACUUGUGUACUCAGGUACUUGUCCUGGGAGAGAGUGGGAAGAAGGACCCCGAACCAAAAGGAAAGGUCCCUGGGAACAGAAUACCUAGAAAAGAGAGGAAAUAAACACAAAGUUAAAGCAAAAAAAUGACUUACCUACAGCACGAGCUGCGGAACAGCUGGAACGGACAAAGAAACCCACGCGGCUCGUCAGCCACAUCUUUAUCCAGCUGAAGCUGGCUGAUGUUGUCACCAGCCGGCGGGGAUAAAACCAGCUGCCGGUGGAAACAAGGGAAGGGGAGGAGCAGACCCAAGUAGGACACAACCACAGGGUGUCCUUCGGGAGGCUCUUGGGAAGGAAGGGCAAUAGCCUGAAGAGUCAGAGGAGGCUCCAGGCACUGACCCUAUCAGUGGUGGUGAGGAACAGCUCGACAGAGAGAGAGAUGUGCCAGAAGCAGCCCCUGCAGCCAGCAAAGGCAGAGGGAACAGAAAGGUGGAUGUGGCGACCCACACUGCAACAGGCAGGAAUAUCAGGGCCAGUGGGGAGGUGGAGGAGUCCCACCCUCUUUAGGAGAGCCCCAGCAGGAGCAGCAUUAAGGGCUGUGAAGAGGCAGGAUAGCUAUCCUGAUUACAGGGAGUGACCAGGCGUACACAAAGGGGCCAUGAGGCACCCGAAUAGUGACACCACAGGAGGGAGAGAAGUGGAGAAGGACUGUACUCCAGGAAGAGACGGAUAAAGUGGGAGAGACGACCCGAGCAGGAGGACACUGGCAUUUGGCCCCGCGUAGGGGUCCUCUCAUAGAAAGGCCUUAGGGAAUGAGGCACCCGGCACCCUGACAUAAGGGACUGGGAAAGGGGCCACGCAGAUUCCCCACAAUAAAACAGAGUAUUAUUUUGUGUUUCUAUUUUGUGUUUCCCCGUUUUGAAGGGGUUGAGGGUCAAGGGAGAUGAUAUGGUUAAGGUAUCCAGUAGAGGGCCCGUAGAGGCAACAUAUUUGGUUUAAGACCCUAGUGAAGUAUCUUACGCUAGAGGGCUCAGGCUUCACGACCGAGAACACCGACUGCAAACAACCCGGGGCAGGUUGAGCGAAGCGGCUUCAAGAACCGGUACCAAAGACGAGGAGUGAGGGUGUGGCCAGGAAAAUCUGGUGCUUCAUCAAGGUGGCAUAAGGUCGGGGUGUAGGGGUGGCGGCGCCCCACAAGUGACCAUUGGACAGACCUCAUGCCACAGGAGGACCCUGAAUAGUCCCCCUACCACUGAGAAACAUUCAAAGUCAUGGCAGGCGAGAUCGGGGAAGACCACUCAAGGAGUAAACAUCUACUCGGUGGUACUGGAGUCAGUAAGGCAUACACCACCAACUCUGCGAACCAAGGCUGCACGUGACUGGGCAUUUAAGGCCUGACGGUCACAGUACUGUUUGUCUUAUAAAUAUUAAGUACUAGCAAUACUAGUAACUAUUAUUUCCCCGUGUAAUAUUUGGCCACUGAAAAUCGGAAAAUAUUAAACACUGUAAUGACAAAAAAAUAUUUUGUAACUCUCUAACUUUAUGUUUUGUAGUU